rnacentral:rRNA from 1 species
AUUGAACGCUGGCGGCAUGCUUUACACAUGCAAGUCGAACGGCAGCGCGGGCUUCGGCCUGGCGGCGAGUGGCGAACGGGUGAGUAAUGCAUCGGAACGUGCCCACUAGUGGGGGAUAGCCCGGCGAAAGCCGGAUUAAUACCGCAUACGACCUGAGGGUGAAAGCGGGGGACCGAAAGGCCUCGCGCUAUUGGAGCGGCCGGUGUCGGAUUAGCUAGUUGGUGGGGUAAAGGCUUACCAAGGCGACGAUCCGUAGCUGGUCUGAGAGGACGACAAGCCACACGGGGACUGAGACACGGCCCAGACUCCUAAGGGAGGCAGCAGUGGGGAAUUUUGGACAAUGGGGGCAACCCUGAUCCAGCCAUGCCGCGUGCGGGAAGAAGGCCUUCGGGUUGUAAACCGCUUUUGUUCGGGAAGAAAUCCUCUGGGCUAAUACCCCGGGGGGAUGACGGUACCGGAAGAAUAAGCACCGGCUAACUACGUG